UGCACAACAAAAAGUACAUUAAUUGUCAUAAUAUCCCAUUAUUCAUUUCUCACUAUACAGGGAGCAAGCAUUAAUCACUGUUCCAAUGAACUGGACCACAAAAAAAUUGUUCAGCUAAUAUACAUGGAUCCAUGAUAAGCAUAAACACUGAGGUUCUGUUGAUAAUGACCAGAUACUGAUUAGCUCCACUUAAACUGGAGUUAGAAAUUGAGGCUCUGUAUUUUGACUGAGCUCAGGCUAUACUGCUGCUGUACACCUAAAACAGGAAUUCAAAAAAACCCAUACUUGGGUCAAAGACUUUAUGUUUAUUUACAUGUAUACAAUAUUUUUUUGCUUAGUCAUUAAUAUUUUGGUACCAUAGUAGCAAGAAACACGUCUUUAAUUAGAGUACAAUGCAUGCCCACAAGAUGCAGCAUCAAUCCAACGAACCUAUAAAACAUGUACACUAAUAAUUGCAAAACAGAUCACCCUAUUUCCAUCCUAGUAUCAAACUCUCAUGUCUUGGUGAUAUGUGAACUUAUGGAAAAUGAUAAUGGUCUUGGAUUCAAGACCUGGUGUUGCCAAAUUCAAAAUUCUUUUUCGUAUGAAGAUC
rnacentral:misc_RNA from 1 species